rnacentral:ncRNA from 1 species
GCCCAGUAGACUGCUGCUGCUGCUGCUGCAGCUGCUGCUGCUGCUGCAGCAGCUGCUGCUGCAGCUGCUGCUGCUGCUGCAGCAGCUGCUGCUGCAGCUGCUGCAGCUGCUGCAGCUGCUGCAGCUGCAGCAGCUGCUGCUGCAGCAGCUGUUGCACCUGCUGCAGCUGUGGUUGCAGCAACGCCUGUGCCUGCAGCAGCAGCGGUUGUAGCUGCAGCAGCAACAGC